GGCCCCUGUAGCCUUUUCGGGACACACCUUAUGAUGCCGGCCCCAUUGCCCUUUCAUGGUGGCUGAGCAGGCCAUGCGGACCCUCAGUUGGAAGCACACCCUGGGCCUGGUGACCAUGGAUGUGGAGCUGGCCGACCGCACGCUGUCUGUGGCGGUCACCCCGGUACAGGCGGUGAUCUUGCUGUAUUUUCAGGACCAAGCCAGCUGGACCCUGGAGGAACUGAGCAAGGCGGUGAAGAUGCCCGUGGCGCUGCUGCGGCGGCGGAUGUCCGUGUGGCUGCAGCAGGGUGUGCUGCGUGAGGAGCCCCCCGGCACCUUCUCUGUCAUUGAGGAGGAGCGGC
rnacentral:sRNA from 1 species